GAUGAACGCUGGCGGCGUGCCUAAUACAUGCAAGUCGAGCGAACGGACGAGAAGCUUGCUUCUCUGAUGUUAGCGGCGGACGGGUGAGUAACACGUGGAUAACCUACCUAUAAGACUGGGAUAACUUCGGGAAACCGGAGCUAAUCCCGGAUAAUAUUUUGAACCGCAUGGUUCAAAAGUGAAAGACGGUCUUGCUGUCACUUAUAGCUGGAUCCGCGCUGCAUUAGCUAGUUGGUAAGGUAACGGCUUACCACGGCAACGAUGCAUAGCCGACCUGAGAGGGUGAUCGGCCACACUGGAACUGAGACACGGUCCAGACUCCUACGGGAGGCAGCAGUAGGGAAUCUUCCGCAAUGGGCGAAAGCCUGACGGAGCAACGCCGCGUGAGUGAUGAAGGUCUUCGGAUCGUAAAACUCUGUUAUUAGGGAAGAACAUAUGUGUAAGUAACUGUGCACAUCUUGACGGUACCUAAUCAGAAAGCCACGGCUAACUACGUG
rnacentral:rRNA from 1 species